AUGACAAAACUAACGGAUUCCUACAUGCAGAGAGCGAAAAAACAGUCAAUCAAAGAUGGAGACAGGAACACUUUCUUCUUCCAUUGUGCUAUCAUCAAAAGAAGAAGAAGGAAGACCACUGCUUCAGUCAAAGAUGAAAAUGAUGUUAUACAGCACAUGCCAGACAAAAUCAGUAAUACAUUUGUGAAUUAUUUCAGAUCUAUUGGCAGGCCCUUCUUCAAUGUUCAAUUUCCCCAACAGACACAAGACUACACAUAUUCUAUUCCAGAUGAAGAGGAGAUUUUGGACACUCUCAAGGGUAUGAAAAGAAACGCAUCGCCAGUGCCUGAUGGAUUUAAUGUAGAAUUCUACAUUGCAACCUAGGUGUGGAUCGGGCAAGAUGUCGUGCGGCUGGUAAGGAAUUUCUUCCAAACAGGUAUAAUGCCAGCACAUAUAAAUGAUACCCACAUUGUUCUGAUUCCUAAAAAGCUUGUUCCUUUAGUGCCGGCAGAUUAUAGGCCCAUUAGUCUUUGCAAUGUCAUCUACAAAAUUAUUGCAAACUGCCUUGCCAAUAGACUGAAACCUCACUUGCCGGACUAUGUUCAUCCUUCUUAG
rnacentral:rRNA from 1 species